AUUGAACGCUGGCGGCAGGCCUAACACAUGCAAGUCGAACGGUAACAGGAAGCAGCUUGCUGCUUCGCUGACGAGUGGCGGACGGGUGAGUAAUGUCUGGGAAACUGCCUGAUGGAGGGGGAUAACUACUGGAAACGGUAGCUAAUACCGCAUAACGUCGCAAGACCAAAGAGGGGGACCUUCGGGCCUCUUACCAUCGGAUGUGCCCAGAUGGGAUUAGCUAGUAGGUGGGGUAACGGCUCACCUAGGCGACGAUCCCUAGCUGGUCUGAGAGGAUGACCAGCCACACUGGAACUGAGACACGGUCCAGACUCCUACGGGAGGCAGCAGUGGGGAAUAUUGCACAAUGGGCGCAAGCCUGAUGCAGCCAUGCCGCGUGUAUGAAGAAGGCCUUCGGGUUGUAAAGUACUUUCAGCGGGGAGGAAGGCGAUAAGGUUAAUAACCUUGUCGAUUGACGUACC
rnacentral:rRNA from 1 species